rnacentral:rRNA from 1 species
UGAGGCCUACGGGGGGCAGCAGUGGGGAAUAUUGGGCAAUGGGCGCAAGCCUGACCCAGCAACGCCGCGUGAAGGAAGAAGGCUUUCGGGUUGUAAACUUCUUUUCUGAGGGACGAAGAAAGUGACGGUACCUCAGGAAUAAGCCACGGCUAACUACGUGCCAGCAGCCGCGGUAAUACGUAGGUGGCAAGCGUUAUCCGGAUUUAUUGGGUGUAAAGGGCGUGUAGGCGGGAAAGCAAGUCAGAUGGGAAAACUCAGGGCUCAACCCUGGGCCUGUCUUUGAAACUGUUUUUCUUG